UAUAAACUUUUAAUUUCUUCUCUAUCAGAAGUAUUCAUUAAAUGAAAUCGGUUGUUUUAGCAUUAUUAGGAUCAUCCUGUGAACACAAUGACGAUUGCAAUGAUCCAGGACAUUCUGAAUGCUCUGAAGAUAAAAUUUGUGUAUGCAAGCUACACAAUUUUAUAAAAUACAAUACUUGUCAACCACGUCUGGGUAGUUUUUGUGAACUCCCGACGAUGUAUAAUUGAAAAUUCAGUUUGUGCUUACAAUAAAUGUCAAUGCAAAAAGGGAUAUAUACAUUAUAUAUUAUAUCGACGCUGUGAAAAAUCAACGCAUGGUACUUUUUGUCAAUCUGAUGAUAAUUGCACAUUGAUUAAAUAUAUGAAAUGUUCUGAAGAUAACAAAUGUGUUUGUCAUGAUAAAACAAUUUUGAUAAAUGAUGCAACAUGUGCGCCAAUUCUAGGCGGUUUUUGCGAAAAACAUGCUGAAUGUAUUGUAGAUUACUCCGUUUGCUUUAAUAAUAAAUGUCAAUGUAAGCCAAAGUAUAAAGCUGUAGCCGAUGAUGAAUGUAGAAUUUCGCCAUUAAGAAAACCGUGUGUGGAUACUUUAGAUUGUGACGAUAUAUGGCACAUGAAAUGCUCAGAAAACAAGACUUGCAUCUGCAAAGCUAAUCAUAUUGAAGUUAAUCAAACGUUAUGUAAGCCACUUCUUGGAGCUAUAUGUCAUUCAAAUGAGUGUGGUGUCAAUAAUUCCGUUUGUGUUGACCAUGAGCGUCAAUUCAAGCCUUUUUUCAGACGUGUAUCUAAUCAUUUGUGCAUAUAUCUUGUAAGCAGUACAAGGAAGAAUACAUAUUACAUUAGAAGUAACUAUUCACACGUAAAAAAAACCCUGAUAAAUUCACGCCAUGUUAAUACAAGGGCUUUUACAUUUACGCGACGAGAAUUUAUCAGGAUUUUUUUACGUAUGAAUAGGCAUGUCCUACGACAUUUGAAGUGUUUUUUGCAUGGUUCAUUAGUUUCUUUCCUGUUUCAGCUUCAUUAGGAUAAUAUUGUAAAUAUAAUUAUCAUUGCCAGGAUAUUUCGCAUUCGACGUGCUCUGCAAAUUAUAAAUGUGUUUGUUAAGAAAAUUAUAUGGCAAUAAACAAUGUAACGUACGAGCCAUUAUUAGGCGGACUAUGAAACUGACGAGGUCUGCAGGAUAGAGAAUUCUGUCUGCAUUAACAACCGAUAUCAGUGCACAAAUAGUUAUAUAUCUUUGUCAAAUUAUUUCUGUAUUUCAAUAUAAUGAAUUCAACAUAUAAAGUUGUUUAUUUUUCAGCAAGAAGUCAUUAAAUUU